UUUUGUGAGAGUGGUGAGGUGCUUAUUGUACACCCUGUCAGAUUCGGAAGAAAGCAGCAGACACAAUGUUGGCUUGUACCGCUCUCAUAUUCUUU
rnacentral:SRP_RNA from 1 species